CCUACGGGGGACUGCAGUGAGGAAUAUUGGUCAAUGGCCGGAAGGCUGAACCAGCCAAGUCGCGUGAGGGAGGACGGCGCAGAGCGUCGCAGACCUCUUUUGCCGGGGGACAAAAGGCCGGACUUGUGCGGUCCUGAGGGUACCCGGAGAAAAAGGAUCGGCUAACUCCGUGCCAGCAGCCGCGGUAAUACGGGGGAUGCGAGCGUUAUCCGGAUUCAGUGGGUUUAAAGGGUGCGCAGGCGGGCCAUGAAGCCGGCGGGGAAAGCGCGGGGCGCACCCCCGCCGAGCCGGCGGAACUGGGGGCCUGGAGUGCAGCGGAGGCAUGCGGAAUGCGCGGUGUAGCGGUGAAAUGCAUAGAUAUCGCGCAGAACCCCGAUUGCGAAGGCAGCGUGCCGUGCCGCCACUGACGCUGAGGCACGAAAGCGCGGGGAUCGAACAGGAUUAGAUACCCUAGUAGUC
rnacentral:rRNA from 1 species